GAUGAACGCUAGCGGCAGGCUUAAUACAUGCAAGUCGAGGGGCAUCAAGGUACACGAAAGUGUAUUGUUGGCGACCGGCGGACGGGUGAGUAAUAGGUAGGUAACCUACCUCAUACUGAGGCAUAGCUGGGAGAAAUUCCAGGUAAUUCCUCAUGAGGUUAUAUGACACAUGUGAUAUAAUCAAAGGUAUCGCAAGGUACUGGUAUGAGAUGGGCUUACUGACCAUUAGCUAGUUGGUGAGAUAAGAGCUCACCAAGGCGAAGAUGGUUAGGGGUUUUGAGAGAGAGAUCCCCCACAUUGGAACUGAGAUACGGUCCAGACUCCUACGGGAGGCAGCAGUAGGGAAUAUUGGGCAAUGGGCGGAAGCCUGACCCAGCCAUGCCGCGUGAAGGAAGACGGCCUUAUGGGUUGUAAACUUCUUUACUAUGCGACUAACUAGAUUUACGAGAUAAUUCUAUAGAAUGUAGCAUAGACAAAAGCACCGGCUAACC
rnacentral:rRNA from 1 species